rnacentral:lncRNA from 1 species
GGAAACUUUUCCCCCUUGACAGCAUAUCAAUCAUUUGUAAUGUCCUAGCUACUCUUUUAAUUACAAGUGGAAUUAGAUUAAAAAAACAAAAAAAAAAAAAAGAUAGAAAAAAAAAGUGAUGAAUAAUUGAGAGUACUUGUGGAUUUCACAAAAUGUGUCAAUAAAAAUUAGCGAAACAUGGUCUAAUGUAAUAAUGCUAACUACUCUACUCAUUCCCCAUCUUCUGCCGAAUGAUCACUGCUGCUGUAAAAAUUUCCAUUAUUGCUAGUAAGUAAAUAAAUUUGGAAAUUCAAUGCCCAAUUUUUUAUCCUCCCAUCUGUAUUUCACAUAAAGCUACAGUUGUACAUUAAUACUAAUGAUGUUUCAACUUGACAUGUAACGGUAACGGAAUCAACAUAUUAAUCUUCUAUUUCAAAAUACUCGUUGUUGUAUGUAAUAGCAUCAAGUUCCAUAUUUUGCCAGUCCUUCAAACACACCAUACAUUCAAACAUUUCUGAUGUUAGUAAAUUCCUUCGUUCUUCGAGUAUUUUGUUCCGGGCACGCAAAUCAGAUGCUGAUGCUUGCGUUGACACUGGGAGUGUUAAUAGAUCGCGUGCCAUAAUGGAAAGUAUUGGGUAUUUCCAUUCAUGCAAUUUCCACCAGUUUAGAACACCUAAAUUCAAGUCUUCAUGAGCAAUAUUAGUUUCGAGAUAAGUAGAUAAUUCGUUGGUCGAAGAAUUAGAUCUUAAACUAUGAAUUUCCUUAAGCAACAACAUAAAUUUAUCUUCACCUUCAUAAGUAAAGUCACGAUGAUUCAUAUUUUUAUAUUUAGUAGCAUAAUUACUAUACAUUUCAUGCGAAAGGCUACUUACAUCAUCAAUCUUUAUUUUUGACUCGGUAUUUAAAUUUUUUGAAAUUUGAUUAAGAUAAUAUUCUAGAGUUGAUAAUUUAAUACGAGGAUCCAUCACGAUAGACAAUGCAAAUAAUAUAGGUAUAUCUUCCCAAUAUUUUAAGAAUUUCUUUUCCAUAGUAUCACAAAUAUGGGCAAUACUUUCAUUAUUUCUAUAUUCAGAGAAUGAUUUUGAAAUGUUAUAGAAAUGAAGAAUAAUACUGUGAGGGGAUGAAUAUUUAAUAGUAACAUGAAAACAAAGCAUAAAUUUCAUAAAAGUAAAAGCAAUAUUCCAGUCGUCAUCACUUAGAAAAUAUUGACUCUGUUUUUUAUGAUAAAAAGCCGUGAUGGCACCACGAUAAUCUUUACAAGAUUGUAACAUAAGAUAUGUGGAAUUCCAUCUAGGAUUCAUAUCAUCAUCAACAAAUCUUCUAUUUUUCAAAUUAAAAGAUUCACAUAUUUCACCAAAUUCUUUUUGGCGUGAUUGAGAAGACGAUAUAAACUUAAGAGCCAUUCUAAUAUUACGCACAUGUGUUUCAACUAGUGCAAGUCCAUCUCGAGCAAUUGAACUUAUAAUAUUAAAAAAAUGACUCACGUGAAAUAAUUUAGCAUCGAAUGGAGGCUUUAACGAUUUAAUAAGCAUCUCAAUCACAUCAUCGUACGCAGAUACAUUAUCAAAAGCAAGUGAAAAUAUUUUAUUUAACACUCCAAAUUCAUUAAAAAUCUCCAUCAAAUAUUUAAAAAUACGGUCAGUUUUAAGCGGAUUUUUUAACAUCCUAACCGCGAUAAUUCUUUUUUGCAUAGUCCAAUUGGAAUCAAUGUAAUGAGCAGUAACGCAAAUGUAACAUUUAUAGUUACUUCCGGUGAAUAAAUCACAAGCAAUAGAAAUAUUACCUUUAUAAUUACUGAGUUCCAGCUUUAGAUUUUCUCGCAUUUCAUUAAAAAGUUUGGAACAAUAAGAUUUACGAGUAUCGCUCGAGAAUUUUCUUAAGCAACGAUUCGUGUACCUUUGCAUAUGAACAUCGAAGUGGAUACCUUUUGAAAGUUGAAAGGGUAAUCUGUUCGCAACUACGAAACUCGAUAAUCCUUCUCUCGUUUUAUCUUGGGUGCCCCGAAUCGGUCGAGCAGAACUUGAAUUGAAUGAAUCAGAGUCAUCAUCAGAAUGUGUGUUGUCUUUGGAAGAUCUCGGAUCCAUAUUAUGGAUAUGGAAUAGUAAAUUAAAUUUGCUGUAAAAACAAAUUGAUGCAAUACUUUUGAACUUUUUACAGUAUUGAAAGUGGAGAGAAG